rnacentral:rRNA from 1 species
UACGUAGGGGGCGAGCGUUGUCCGGAUUUAUUGGGCGUAAAGAGCUCGUAGGCGGUUUGGUAAGUCGGGUGUGAAAUCUCCACGCUCAACGUGGAGGGGCCACUCGAUACUGCCAUGACUCGAGUCCGGUAGAGGAGUGUGGAAUUCCCGGUGUAGCGGUGAAAUGCGCAGAUAUCGGGAGGAACACCCGUAGCGAAGGGCGGCACUCCUGGGCCGGAACUGACGC